rnacentral:lncRNA from 1 species
CGGAGGUCCGAAAACCUUAAGAUCAGUCAAGAUCGGCUUAAAAUUGGGCUUGUGUAAAAAAAAGUUGACUUUUCCUGUUGACCGAGCACUGAUUGGAUGAUGAAAUGAGCUUACAAUAGAUAUGAGUGCAUGGGAUAAUUGGCAAUCUUGACUAAAUCUCAACCGUUCAUGAUUCAAUGGCCAUGAUUUUGCCACGUGGCAAUGGUUGGUGAAGCAAGUUGGAGGAUCCGAAUCUUUGUAUUUGGGUCGACCCGAUCCACCCAUUAACCCGCCAAAUCUCAACCGUUCUUUGGGUAAAUCGGACGAGUCAAAUGAUGCCAUGUGUGAUGUUGACUUUUGAAGUUUGACCAGCCAUUGGAUCUUGAUCUAAGGGUUGUGAGGAGCACAUGCAUGAAGCCUAUGAUGGACCGCAAAGCACGGGAUUAUGAAUUUAUUUUUUCUAUAAAUAGGGCCUCAUUUUUAUGUUUUAAUCAUCUCUCUACAACUCUCUUCUUCUCAAAUUCUCUCCAUCUCCUUGUAAUCUUGAUUUCCAGGUGUGUUUUUAAUAUUUUGUAUAAUUAUUUUUAUAAAUAAAAUUAGUUUUAUUUUCAAUUUUAGUUGUUUUUAUUUCUUUUAAUUAUAAGUAAUUCAAUUUUACUACUUCUUUUUAUUUUAAUUAUGCUUAACUAAAUAAUAUUAGUUAGGGGAAGGUGAAACUCUUAAGAAAUAAAUAUGAUUUAAUCAAAUUCUAUGUUUAAUUUUAUAAAUUAAAUUAUUUUCUAUUUAAUUUUAUACAUGUUUUAUAUUUUGAAAAUUUGAUUUAUUGUAGACAAACAAAUGAAUUUGGCACAAUAAAUUCUUAAGAUCUUAAUAUAAGGCAUGGUGAAAUGGUAUUUUGACUUAUUGUAGACAAAUUAAAUUUUGGCACAAUAAAUACUUAAUCCAUCAUAAAAUUAAAGGGAAAAUAAUAAUAAUUUGUAUAAUUAAUCUUUUGGGUAAUAAAUCGAAAAAAAUUGGCAAAAAGAAUUUAUUAAGUUUUAUUUAUUUCUAAGAGUGGAUCCAUAACCCUAACUAGUUCAAUUCCAUAGUUUCAUUUACAUUAAGUUGUUUAUAUUUAAGUUUUAAUUUCAAUUUUAAGUUAAAAUAAAGUAAACUAAUUAAAUCUUUUCUCUGUGGAUCGACCUUGGACUCACCGAGUUAUAAUACAACAAGACACUCUUAUACUUGCGAGUUAAAAAUUACUUUUAAGUUGUGUCAUAGAUAUAUAGUUAAAAAUAUUUUUUUGUCAAAAACUUGAACUCUAAAUUAGCAAAUAAAUGAACUCUCCCAAAUUCCUUUACCACAUUGAUGUUCACUCAUUAUCCAUAAUAUCAUCAAACCUUCUUUUGUGCUCAAGUAAUUAACACAAUACUUAUGAGGCUUCAUUAAAAGAAAAACAACAUUUUCGUUCCAAAAUUCAUUAGAAAUUAUAUCUUUAGGUAAUAGAUUAUUCACACAUUUUUUUUUUAAUAUUACAUUUCUAACCCGUGUAGCGAGCUUUAGAUCAGUGACUCCCAGACCAGUUGGCCUUAGGGCACUAGGUGUUGAAGCACCCCUACGGACUUAAUUACUCGGGUUUCUAAUAAACAAACUAUAUAUCUAUUACCCAUGUAGCGAGCUUUAGGCCAGUGACUCCCAGACCAGUUGACCUUAGGGCACUAGGUGUUGAAACACCCCUACGGACUUAAUUACUCGGGUUCCUAAUAAACAAACAAUAUAUCUAUUACCCAUGUAGCGAGCUUUAGGCCAGUGACUCCCAGACCAGUUGGCCUUAGGGCACUAGGUGUUGAAACACCCCUACGGACUUAAUUACUCGGGUUUCUAAUAAACAAACAAUAUAUCUAUUACCCAUGUAGCGAGCUUUAGGCCAGUGACUCCCAGACCAGUUGGCCUUAGGGCACUAGGUGUUGAAACACCCCUACGGACUUAAUUACUCGGGUUUCUAAUAAACAAACAAUAUAUCUAUUACCCAUGUAGCGAGCUUUAGGCCAGUGACUCCCAGACCAGUUGGCCUUAGGGCACUAGGUGUUGAAACACCCCUACGGACUUAAUUACUCGGGUUUCUAAUAAACAAACAAUAUAUCUAUUACCCAUGUAGCGAGCUUUAGGCCAGUGACUCCCAGACCAGUUGGCCUUAGGGCACUAGGUGUUGAAACACCCCUACGGACUUAAUUACUCGGGUUUCUAAUAAACAAACAAUAUAUCUAUUACCCAUGUAGCGAGCUUUAGGCCAGUGACUCCCAGACCAGUUGGCCUUAGGGCACUAGGUGUUGAAACACCCCUACGGACUUAAUUACUCGGGUUUCUAAUAAACAAACAAUAUAUCUAUUACCCAUGUAGCGAGCUUUAGGCCAGUGACUCCCAGACCAGUUGGCCUUAGGGCACUAGGUGUUGAAACACCCCUACGGACUUAAUUACUCGGGUUUCUAAUAAACAAACAAUAUAUCUAUUACCCAUGUAGCGAGCUUUAGGCCAGUGACUCCCAGACCAGUUGGCCUUAGGGCACUAGGUGUUGAAACACCCCUACGGACUUAAUUACUCGGGUUUCUAAUAAACAAACAAUAUAUCUAUUACCCAUGUAGCGAGCUUUAGGCCAGUGACUCCCAGACCAGUUGGCCUUAGGGCACUAGGUGUUGAAACACCCCUACGGACUUAAUUACUCGGGUUUCUAAUAAACAAACAAUAUAUCUAUUACCCAUGUAGCGAGCUUUAGGCCAGUGACUCCCAGACCAGUUGGCCUUAGGGCACUAGGUGUUGAAACACCCCUACGGACUUAAUUACUCGGGUUUCUAAUAAACAAACAAUAUAUCUAUUACCCAUGUAGCGAGCUUUAGGCCAGUGACUCCCAGACCAGUUGGCCUUAGGGCACUAGGUGUUGAAACACCCCUACGGACUUAAUUACUCGGGUUUCUAAUAAACAAACAAUAUAUCUAUUAUUUUUUUUUAUAUAUUACAUUUCUAACCCGUGUAGCGAGCUUUAGGUCAGUGACUCCCAGACCAGUUGACCUUAGGGCACUAGGUGUUGAAACACCCCUACGGACUUAAUUACUCGGGUUUCUAAUAAACAAACAAUAUAUCUAUUACCCAUGUAGCGAGCUUUAGGUCAGUGACUCCCAGAUCAGUUGACCUUAGGGCACUAGGUGUUGAAACACCCCUACGGACUUAAUUACUCGGGUUUCUAAUAAACAAACAAUAUAUCUAUUACCCAUGUAGCGAGCUUUAGGUCUUGGCCGUACAGCAGAGUUGACCUUAGGGCACUAGGUGUUGAAACACCCCUACGGACUUAAUUACUCGGGUUCUAGAUAUAACAAAAUUAAAAACAUUUUUUUCUUCUUUUUUUUGAUUUUUUGCUUUUUUUUUGUUUUUUGUUUUUUUUUUUUUUUGCAAUAUACACUUUCUACUACCUUAAAUACUAUUCCUAAUAAAUCAAAAGAACUAAAUGCUGUAAAAUUUUAACUUACAACCCACUAGUAUGUGUCAUAAUGUGUGUGUGAAGAAUGAUUCAAUAAUAACUGUUAAAUGAGUAAACAAUUAAAUAACUUAAUAACCAAGUGGAGAGUUCACAAAUUUGAGUAAUUCAAAGAAAAGGGAACAAAAACAAUUUUUUUACAGAAUGUGGAACAAAAUGAUUCUUUAUUGCAUGGUUAAUAAAAGUUAGCAAGCCGUCAUAAAAAUUAUUAACAUUUAACAAACCGAUGGGUUUUUGAUGAAUGUUCAAGUGGGCCCAAGAUGCAAAUGUAAUUAGUGCCUCAAAAGUUGCAAGAUCUCCUGGCAAGAAAAUAAAAGCAUCAGCAUGAUUCAUCAUUUCAGAUAUUCUCUCUUGCAUACUUGAUACCACUAAUUCUUCUCCAAUUGGUGGGCCAGACAUGCACACUAGCGGUUUCAUGGGUUUUGGGAUAAUGCCGAGUACUUGGCUUCCUCUGGUAAAAACAGCUUCUGAGACAAGUCUUGAUAACCCUCGUUCACCUCCUCCAUAUACAAGAUGCAGUUUCCUCUCUGCUAUGACACGACCAAGAUCUACAGCUGCCUGAACGAACUCUUUGUACUUUCCAUAGUGAAACCCAGAAAGCACACAAAUAUUUUUGAAUUGUUUACUCGAAGAUGCUGCUAUUGGACUAAUUUUUCAAAAACAAGUUGUGAGUGUUUGAAAAACGGGCUCAUAUUUAAAGAUCUUGGUGACAUAAAUAAUGAGAAACAACUGUAAAUGGGUUGGCAUAUUUUUCAAAUGACGAGUAAAGCUCGUGGCUCAAUAAUUCAAAAACAAACAGUAAAAAAAAGUAAUGAUUAGAAAAAGCAAACAGUAACAAAUAUUUAUUAAAUACAAAAUCACAUCGCUAAAUGCAAUAAUGCAAAUGAUAAAAUAACAGUAAAGUAAAAUAACAGUGAAGUGAAAGGAUAUGUACUGGUAGUUGUGAAUGUGGCUCACAUCUUCCUCUGGUUUUACGUCCAGUAACGGCUUGAAUGCCCUCUAUGGGUCGAGGAUCGGCUUCCCAUCCAGUUUUCUUAUAAACUGGCAAACAGGGUCUUUUUUAGUCAGAUUCCCAAGACUAAACUGUGUAAUUUGUUUUUGCAAUAGUAUCCACAAAUUGUAAAUCUCACGUUGCACAAUUCCGCUUCGAUGCGUCUCAAGAGAUCGUAAGAUAUCAUCCAACGAUUCUUUACUCAUGCCAUCUUUAACGAAUUUAAUUUUAUCUUCACGAGUAUCAGAAACCAUUCCUAAAGAUUUACAAUCCGGUCGUUUGCAACCAAGUCUUACACAGUUAUGACAUUUUGAGCCAAGUCGUUUAGCUCUCCUUUUCUUAGCAAACGUACUUUUACCAAAACCAGGCAUGUAAGAAACAAAUGGAUCAGAAAACUCACCUACUAAUCGGACUUUUGCUUCAAUUAACCAACGAAUGUCAGAAGGAAUGCCAUUGAUCAUUAACAAACGCAGUCGUUCACAACGAGCUUUGUAAAUUUUCCUGAGGGCAUUCUGAGGGAGAGAGGGAAAAUGCUUAUGGAGUUUAUGUUGUAUUUCUUCCAUGUUUGAUUUUGGGGUUUCAGUUAUUGUGGGAAACUGAAGAUACCGGCUUAAAAAGUCACAGAGUACCGUUAUCCGCCAUUUAUACGGGAAAAUAAAUCAAAACUUACCAAAAUCAAAUCUGCAAAAUCAAAUCAAGCGUGAAAGCGAGCAAAAAAAAAGCACACAAUAUAAAAGGAAAAUGAACUUACAUUCGUCCUCUCAUUGAAUUAACCUCAAGCUCCAAUUGAAAUUCAUAUAUGCCACUCUCUACCGUUCUGAGUUGUCCCUCUAGAUCCUCAACAAAGGACACGAAUUCUGGUGGUUGCAGAUCCCAAAGUGGAUGUGAUUUACAGCUUUGUAUCAGGCCUCUUAAGUGAAAUUUUAUACGCCGAAAUCUUUUAAGAUGUGCGAACAGGUAUUUUCUCAUUGAGGUGCUCAUGAUGAUGUAAAAUGAAAAUUGAUGAGAGAAUGUACAACUAUCAAACAAACACGCUUACACAAGAAAAACAAUGUUAAAAAAAAAACUAUUUACAGUGCAUCAAUCUAAAGAAAAAAAUCAAACAAUGAAACGGUAAAAUAAUAGUAAAACAAAAAAAAAAAAAAUCAUUAAAGACUUAAUCAAGAACUGGUGGGUCAUCCAAAUUAAUUUCGGUGUCCUCGUCACGUGGGUGAUGUUCCAGAUAUGGUUUUAAUCUUUGACCAUUAACUUUAAAUGUGACACCACACGCUUACACAAGAAAAACAAUGUUAAAAAAAAACUAUUUACAGAAAAAAAAUCAAACAAUGAAACGGUAAAAUAAUAGUAAAACAAAAAAAAAAUCAUUAAAAACUUAAUCAAGAAUUGGUGGGUCAUCCAAAUUAAUUUCGGUGUCCUCGUCACGUGGGUGAUGUUCCAGAUAUGGUUUUAACCUUUGACCAUUGACUUUAAAUGUGACACCGUUAUUUGGAUUCUCAAUUUCUAUGGCCCCAUAUGAAUAUACAUUUUUUACAACAAAUGGGCCACUCCAUUUUGACUUUAACUUUCCUGGAAAUAAAUGAAGACGAGAAUUAUAAAGCAACACUUUUUGACCAAUCUCAAAUGUUUUUCGAAAAAUUCUUUUAUCAUGAAAUGCUUUUGUUCUUGCCUUAAUAAUUCUUGAAUUUUCAUAUGCAUCAUUCCUUAAUUCCUCAAGUUCAUUCAAUUGCAAUUUUCGCACAUUACCAGCAUCAUCCAAAUUUGAAUUAAAAGAUUUAAUAGCCCAAAGUGAUUUAUGUUCAAGUUCAACAAGUAAAUGACAAGUUUUACCAUAAACUAACCGAUCUAGAGGUCGGAAUAACAUGUUAUCGCUUGACAGUGCAUCAAUCUAGUUUUUCUUGAAGGAAAGUGACCACCACAUGCUUCAGAAUGACAAAAAUUAAUGACACUACUUACCUCAUUAUCAGGAAUACAGCGCCGAAAAAUUUGAUCUGGGCAAUAUUUGAACAAAUAAGGGUCAUCCCAAUAAAAUUUCUUUACUUCAACAAAAAAUUUCUUCUUCUCUUGAGCAUUCCAUUGCAAAGGCAUUUUACCUGUAACAAAGAAAUUAACAAUGUUAGCAUACCAUGGCAUUGAAGUAACAGAAAAUAAAAAUUCAGCAGGGAAAGAAUCAUUUAUGGGUGUUAUAUCAUUGAAGAAUUCAUAUGUGAGUCUUGAUAGAUGAUCAGCAACAACAUUUUCAACACCUUUUUUAUCUUUGAUGGUAAGGUCAAAUUCUUGAAGUAACAAAAUCCAAUGAAUUAGUCUCGGUUUGGCAUCCUGUUUACUCAUCAAAUAUCUCACAGCAGCGUGGUCAGUAAACACAACAGAUUUAGAGCCAAGCAAAUAUGAACGGAAUUUGUUUAAUGCAAAUACCACAGCAAGUAAUUCUUUUUCAGUUGUAGAAUAAUUCAUUUGAGGUGCAUCUUUUAAUAAGAGGUUACAAAGUGGUUUAGAUAUUGCACUAAAGUUUUUUAUAAACCUCCUAUAAAAUUCUACAUGUCCUAAAAAGGAUCGCACAUCUCUGACUGUUUUUGGUUGUGGCAAUUUAGAUAUCUCCAAGUAAUCAUUGUAUUCUGCUGUACGGCCAAGGCGGCGCACAUCUCUAACUGUUUUUGGUUGUGGCAAUUUAGAUAUAACUGCGAUUUUUGCUUUGUCAACUUCAAUUCCUUUAAUAGAAACAACAUGACCCAAAACAAUUCCAGAAGUAACCAUGUAGUGACAUUUUUCCCAAUUCAACACGAGCUCUUUUUCAAUACAUCUUUUUAAAACGUUCUCCAAAUUAUCAAGGCAAUCAUCAAAAGAAUUCCCAAACACAGUCAAAUCAUCCAUAAAGACCUCUAAACAAUGUUCAACCAUAUCACAAAAAAUGCUUAACAUACAUCUUUGAAAUGUUGCAGGAGCAUUACAAAGCCCGAAUGGCAUUCUUUUAAAUGCAAAUGUUCCAAAAGGACAUGUGAAUGUGGUCUUUUCUUGGUCCUCAAGUGCUAUAGGAAUUUGAUAAUAACCUGAAUAUCCAUCUAAAAAACAGUAGUAGGGAUGUCCUGCUACUCUUUCUAAGAUUUGGUCAAGGAAUGGUAAUGGAAAAUGAUCUUUUCUAGUGGCUUCAUUUAAUUUUCUAUAAUCAAUGCACAUGCGCCAACUAAAUGUAAUUCGUGUUGGAAUUAAUUCACCUUUUUCAUUUUUAACAACAGUGAUUCUAGAUUUUUUAGGCACUACUUGUGUAGGACUUACCCACUUACUAUCAGAAAUAGGGUAGAUAAUUCCCACAUCAAGUAAUUUAAGGACUUCUGUUUUGACUACCUCUUUCAUGUGUGGGUUUAAUCUUCUUUGAGGUUGCUGACAUAUUUUAGCAUUUUCUUCCAAAUUAAUUCUAUGUGUGCAGAUUAAGGGAUUAAUGCCUUUAAUGUCAUUUAAAGUCCACCCUAUUGCAUUUUUAUGCUUUUUAAGAACAGUUAGUAACUUACCUUCUUGGUCGCUUGUUAAAGUAGAAGAAAUCACAACAGGAUAAGUUUGUUCUUCUCCAAGAAAAGCAUAUUUCAAUCCUUCAGGUAAAGGUUUCAAUUCAAUUUUAGGUGUUUCUUGUUGUUCUGUCUUUUCAAUACUUCCAAACUCCUCAAAUUUUGGCUCGUCAUCAUAAUUUUGUGAAGUCUGCACAGAAUCAAGCAACGAAUUUAUAUUAGAAAUAUCAAGUUCAAGUUGCUUAUUUGACUCAAUUGAAUUAACUAAACAAACAUUAGAAAGUUCAGAAAAAUCCCCUUUUUGAAUAUUUUCCUCGAUACAAAAUUCAAACAAUUCCUUUUGUUCACCAGUAUCAUCUUCAUUCUCAUUUUCUUCAUUAGGUUGCCUGCACAUGUUGAAAACAUUCAAUUCCAAAGUCAUAUUCCCAAAGGAUAAAUUCAUUAAACCAUUCCUACAAUUAAUCAAAGCAUUAGCAGUUGCUAAAAAUGGUCGACCUAAAAUUAUAGGAAUUGGUUUGUAAUUAUUCACAACAGAUUCAGUUUCCAAGACAAUAAAAUCCACAGGAUAAAUGAACUUAUCAACUUGUACUAAAACAUCUUCCACUAUUCCUUUUGGUACUUUAACUGAUCUAUCGGCAAGCAAAAGUGUAGUUGAAGUUGAUUUUAACUCACCAAGAUUAAGUUGAAGAUAAACUGAAUAUGGAAGCAAAUUAACACUAGCACCAAGAUCUAGUAAAGCAUGCUCAAUUCUGUGGUUACCAAUAAUACAAGAAAUGGUAGGACAACCAGGAUCUUUAUAUUUCAACUUAUUAUUAGUAGACAGAAUUGUACUUACCUGUUCGGCUAUGAAAGCACUCUUUCUUACCUUCAAUUUCCUCUUAACAGUGCACAAGUCCUUCAAUUUCCCCGGCAACGGCGCCAAAAACUUGACACAACUUAAAAGUAAUUUUUAACUCUCAAGUAUAAGAGUAUCUUGUUGUAUUAUAACUCGGUGAGUCCGAGGUCGAUCCACAGAGAAAAUAUUUAAUUAGUUUAUUUUAUUUUAACUUAAAAUUGAAAUUAAAACUUAAAUAUAAACAACUUAAUUUAGAUGAAACUAUGGAAUUGAACUAGUUAGGGUUAUGGAUCCACUCUUAGAAAUAAUUAAAACUUAACAAAUUCUUUUUGCCAAUUUGUUUUAGAUUAUGUUUUAGAUCCACUCUUAGAAAUAAAUAAAACUUAUAUUUUAAUCAAAUUUUUUCUCUAAAAAAUUAAUAGUAAUUAUAAUACUUCUCUCUCUUCAAGAAUUAUGAGAAAAAAAUAUAGUAUUAAAUUAAAGACACUAAAAAAUUCUCCAAAUAAAUUUCUUCAAAUGAAAUAAUACUUCUCUCUUUUUAAUAUUAAAUAGAGAGAAACACUAUUUUAUUUGAAAAAUCUCAUUUGGAGAGUUUUUUUAAACCUUUUUUUUUAUAUGACUCUUUAAAUAAAUAAUAAAAUCUCAUUUAAAGAGACUUUUAAUGAUAGUCUUAGCUAAUUAGCUUGUUACCCUUGGAAAAAUAAGCCUUCGCAUGUGCCUACUUUGAUAUCGGUUGUUUUUGGUUACAUGCGCAUCACCUAACGUGACAGAUGGAUGAAUGAUAGUCUUAGCUAAUUGAUUAGUAUUAAAAAUUGUUUAAUUAUCAAGCGAUAAUAUGUUAUUUUAUGCUUAUGUUAUAAUUUAUAUUUGUGUUUAUGUAAUAUAUUAUGAAUUAUUAAUUAUGUUUUAAAUAUAUUUAAUUUUGUGUAUUUUUAUGUGGUUAUUAGGAAAAUUAUUAAUUUCAUGUACUUCGAGGCUCCAAACAGAUAAACGGAGGUCAAAUUUGGAUUCCGGAGGUCCGAAAACCUUAAGAUCAGUCAAGAUCGGCUUAAAAUUGGGCUUGUGUAAAAAAAAGUUGACUUUUCCUGUUGACCGAGCACUGAUUGGAUGAUGAAAUGAGCUUACAAUAGAUAUGAGUGCAUGGGAUAAUUGGCAAUCUUGACUAAAUCUCAACCGUUCAUGAUUCAAUGGCCAUGAUUUUGCCACGUGGCAAUGGUUGGUGAAGCAAGUUGGAGGAUCCGAAUCUUUGUAUUUGGGUCGACCCGAUCCACCCAUUAACCCGCCAAAUCUCAACCGUUCUUUGGGUAAAUCGGACGAGUCAAAUGAUGCCAUGUGUGAUGUUGACUUUUGAAGUUUGACCAGCCAUUGGAUCUUGAUCUAAGGGUUGUGAGGAGCACAUGCAUGAAGCCUAUGAUGGACCGCAAAGCACGGGAUUAUGAAUUUAUUUUUUCUAUAAAUAGGGCCUCAUUUUUAUGUUUUAAUCAUCUCUCUACAACUCUCUUCUUCUCAAAUUCUCUCCAUCUCCUUGUAAUCUUGAUUUCCAGGUGUGUUUUUAAUAUUUUGUAUAAUUAUUUUUAUAAAUAAAAUUAGUUUUAUUUUCAAUUUUAGUUGUUUUUAUUUCUUUUAAUUAUAAGUAAUUCAAUUUUACUACUUCUUUUUAUUUU